rnacentral:rRNA from 1 species
UGGGGAAUAUUGCACAAUGGGCGAAAGCCUGAUGCAGCAACGCCGCGUGAGGGGAGACGGUUUUCGGAUUGUAAACCUCUGUUUUCGGUGACGAACAAAUGACGGUAACCGAGUAGGAAGCCACGGCUAACUACGCGCCAGCAGCCGCGGUAAUACGUAGGUGGCAAGCGUUAUCCGGAAUUACUGGGUGUAAAGGGAGCGCAGGCGGGAUAGCAAGUCAGCUGUGAAAACUAUGGGCUCAACCCAUAAACUGCAGUUGAAACUGUUAUUCUUGAGUGGAGUAGAGGCAGGCGGAAUUCCCCGUGUAGCGGUGAA